CCCGUGAAGAACAUCAUGACCACAAGGAGGCCACUCAAGCUACUUCACAUGGAUCUUUUUGGUCCCAACGCCUACAAGAGUCUCGGUGGAAAUUCUUUUGGUCUAUUUAUAGUUGAUGAUUUUUCAAGAUUUACGUGGGUGUUCUUUCUUAAUGACAAGUCGCAGGUCCAGAAGAUCUUCAGAAACUUUGCUAGGAAGGCCCAAAAUCAGUUUGAUGUGAAGAUCAAGAAGGUUCGGAGUGACAAUGAAACGGAGUUCAAGAACGCAAAUGUGGACACCUUUCUUGACGAAGAAGGGAUUUCACAUGAGUUCUUGGCUACGUACACACCUCAACAAAAUGGAGUUGUUGAGAGGAAGAAC
rnacentral:rRNA from 1 species